AGCAGAUGCCUGGUGCCUGCACAUCUCAAUGGCAGCAUCAAGGGCAGGCACCACACAGGCCCCCUCACACCCUCUACUCCCCAGGGCAGCCUAGAGCACAGAAAGGACAGGACGGAAACAGGUGGAUGGAAACAGAUGAAACUGUAGCCAUUGUUGGUACUCUCUGCCCAUGCCCAUGCCUUCUUACUGGGCCUACACCGGAAACAAACCACACAGAGACAGCAAAUAAGUCAUCUCGAGCUGAGAACUUACACCUUGUCUGACAACUUCCCAAAAGAUCCCCUGGAUGUCUGAUCCAUGUCUCUUAGAUGAGAAUUUAAAAUGCUCCUUUUGUCAUGCCUAAUUAGAAGUGGGCAGGAAGCCACAGCAUCUUCUUGUUAGCUUCUAAGUCUUUCACAAUCCAGAGUCUAAUGGAUCAAGUGCUCAAGGCAGCCGGAGAAGAGAUCGAUCUGCCUCAGAAAACUUGGAAUCUAGAUCAAAAGCUCAAAGUUCAACCUGAUCAUUCCACUGAACUGAGAAAAUGCAAGCCUACAGCUACUGUUGACAAGCAAAGCUUUUAUCUGUGUGGACCGUCAAACAGAGCAGGUCUGCAGCUGACAGCAGAGUGGAACAUCAUGUAUAGAAGCACCAAGAAUGAAAUCUUUAUUCCUGGCAAAGAGAGAGACAAAGGACACUCGUGCCUGUGCCCUUUCUCAGUACAGAGCCAUCUCUGUUUCUGCCUUUUCCAACUCAAAACCCCUCAAACUUCAAGACUUUUCCCUCCCUACUGGGCAUAUUGUCUCAAGCAUCAGAGCAGUAAAAUGUUCUCCAAAGGACUCCGCGCUAAGGAACCUUGUGGGAAAUCUGAAGAGAAAGAAGCCAGAGAAUAAAAACCACCUUUUCUGUUUAGCUCUUGCGUCUCUUCCAGCGAUACCAAUAUCCAUUCACCAUAAAGAACUUUCAAGCACUCAAGAGCCAUCAGAAGACGUUGCUUUGGAGGCCGGGCUGCCGAGGAAGCUGAUGUGCACGAAUCCUGGGGGUAAGGCCUGGCACGCAGGGCUGGCAGACGAUGAGACUUAAUAUCGGCUCAUCGCCUCCUUCAGUGAGCUCCACCCGCCUUCUUCCACGUAGACCCUCUGUGUCCAGCUUUAUUCUGAGGGACACAUAGUGAAAAAAAAGUCUU